UACGUAGGGGGGCAAGCGUUUGUCCGGAUUUAUUGGGCGUAAAGAGCGUGUAGGCGGUUUGGUAGGUCCGCUGUGAAAACUCGAGGCUCAACCUCGAGACGCCGGUGGAAACCAUCAGACUAGAGUCCGGAAGAGGAGAGUGGAAUUCCUGGUGUAGCGGUGAAAUGCGCAGAUAUCAGGAAGAACACCCGUGGCUAAGGCGGCUCUCUAGUACGGUACUGACGCUGAGACGCGAAAAGCGUGGGGAGCGAACAGG
rnacentral:rRNA from 1 species